AUAUUAACAAUAAUACUUUCAGAUGCUGUAGUCAAAAUUUAUAAUAGUUUCUGUUGAUAAUGACUCUAUUUUUAAAUAUUAAUAAAUUUUGAAACUUGAGCAUGAUGGAAAAAAUUACUUAGAAAAGAAGAGACUAAUGAUAAACACAAAUAAGACAAAUAUAAUAAAGUAAGGAAAGGGACAGAAAAAUAGUGGACAGAAUGCGCGAGAAAUCAAGAAAAGGCAGCAGUAAUGGAGCGGAUAGGGAUAGGGAGAAAAAAGUUUGGGAUUGGAAAAACAAAAUUUGGUUCAACAGAUUGAUAUAGUCAGUGCUAAGUUAUAAGGUGAAGAUUUAAGAAUAAAAAAAGGGAUAAAUUGAAAAGGAUGGAAAAAAGGUUUGAAAUGGAUAUUGGCUGUAAAAAGAACGCCAAAAUAUUUAAUUAAAGAAGAAUUACAGAGGAGUUACAAGCUAAGAAGUAAAAUGGAAAGACAUAGAAUUCUGAAGAGAAGUUAAAAUAUAGUUUUAAAAAGCCGCUUUUUUCAAAUCGCUGGAAAAAAACCAGAAAAAAAAUUUUUUUUCGAAAAAUUGGUUUUUUUGGAAAGUACUUUAAAAAAACAGAAAAUAUAUGACAGACCAACUUUAAACUAACUCUAGUUAUUUAGAAAUACAAAAGUGAAUGUAAAUUUUACGAAAAACAUAUGCCAAUUUUUUGACGAAUUUUUCUAACCCUUGUGAAAAAAAA